rnacentral:misc_RNA from 1 species
UCGGGAAUGCCCUCCGGGGCUGACCUUCAACCCUUUGUCGUUAUAACCUCGUUUCUUUGGCGGGUCCGCCCGCCAGAAGACCUCUCAAACCCAACCAUCAUUGUCCUCUGAAGCAAACGAUAAUAAAAUCA